rnacentral:sRNA from 1 species
GCCCGCUCCGUGCCCGUGGAGUGCGCACCUAGAAUACGCGCCCGCGCCCAGAUGUGGGAUGCUUUGAUGGACUGCCGUGAGCCCAGACCUUAAACGUAAACAUUCAGCUUCGCAGGAAGGUGCUCGGGUCUUCGGGGCACUAGGUCCCAUCGGUCCCUCCUCACCUGGGCUCACCCUCGGGGGUCUGGCCGUGAGCGAGCACCGGCUCAGCAACAAGCUGCUGGCAUGGAGCGGCGUCCUUGAGUGGCAGGAGAAGCGCAGACCCUACUCUGACUCCACUGCAAAGCUGAAGCGGACCCUGCCCUGCCAAGCCUACGUGAACCAAGGCGAGAACCUGGAGACCGACCAGUGGCCGCAGAAGCUGAUCAUGCAGCUGAUCCCGCAGCAGCUGCUGACCACCCUGGGCCCCCUGUUCCGGAACUCCCAGUUGGCACAGUUCCACUUCACCAACAGAGACUGCGACUCGCUCAAGGGGCUCUGCCGCAUCAUG